ACUUGGACCAAAAAAAAAAAGUCUCCUAAAUGUUGAUGAGUUCAAUCACAGCCCAGCGGCCUGGAAAAGCUAAUGUAUCUGAGUCAUUUCUCUAGAAAGGAACUACCUGUCCUCUUGGGAGACGAGAGGUACAAACAAUUCAAUGUAAUCACUCAAUUCUAAGGGGAUGACUGGUCCCAGUUUGAUGAUGUUCAUGAUUAUUUCGGUCUGAUCUUUUUCUCCUGGUUUAGAAAAGAGAUAGAUAGGAAUUUGAUGAUAAUUAAACAUGAAGAAAAACACUGUGACAUUUUACUGUUAAAUUUGAGUGCCGAGGAGCAAAUGCUAUGGGUUCUGCAUUAUUAGUUGUGUGACAUUGAGUUCCUUAACUUCUCUGUGAUUCAGUUUCUUCAUCUGUAAAGUGUUAUUUUAUUUUUUAAAAGAUUUUAUUUAUUUACUUGAGAGAGAGAGACAGAGACAGAGACAGAGCAUGAGCAACGGGGAGGAGGCAGAGGGAGAGGCAGACUCCGCGCGAGCAGGGAGACUGAUGCCGGGCUGGAUCCUAGGAUCCUGAGAUCAUGACCUGAGCCAAAGACAGAUGCUUAACCGACUGAGCCACCCAGGUGCCCCUGUAAAGUGUUAUAAUAAUACCUACUUGUUAGAGUUUAGGGGAUUUGAUGAGUUAAUGAAUGUAAAGUCCUUAGUACAGUGCCUGGAAUAUAGUAAGUGCUAUUUACAAGUUUGCUAUCGUUACUGACAUUACCAGGAUGUCCGGUGGUACGAAUACCUAAAAAAGGUCUAUUGAGGAUCCAAAUGAUAUGGCAAAUAACAACAUUUUACUAUGUAACAGAGGAACGAAAACUGUCUUACUUAUCUUGACAAGUAGAAGAAAACAUCUGAAAGCAAUCAAAGGAGAGUUAAUAAAGAACAAUUGGGUGAAUUAACUGUGAACAAUAGUCCAAUCAAAUGUGCCAUUAUAAAAACUGGCUUUGGGCAAAAGGUUCCCAGAGGGAAAGGGAGGAAGGGUGAGUAUGAAGGUCAGUGGGGAGUAGAAGAGGCUACAUGGAUAAAUCGAGUCUGUUCUUAUGGAACAUGAGUCAACAGUAUGAUCUAAAUACUGUAGAAGGCAAAACCACAUUUGGGCACAUAACAGACCUAGACUGAAUAGUUCAUUAUUCCAUUUCCUUUGGCUCUUGCUGGGCUCUAUUCAGACUUUUUUUGGGUUACAUUUCCAAAAAUCACAUGUUGCAGAAUAUGGAGGGGAGUGCAGGGAUCCUGACCUGGAGUUUGGAAAGCAAGAAGGAUAGAGAAAACACCCUGACUAGCUUGAUGCUGACAGUUGAGUUGUGGCUCAUGUUUGGAAGAGAGAGGCUUCGUUAGUCUGAUUAGUCAAGGACAGCAGGAUCAGAGAUCGCAGUGUGACACUGCUAGGAAGGGGAGUAGACACUGAAACGCAGGAGUAAUCUAACCACAAGACCCGAUCGGUCAGUGGGACCAGCGGCCACCAGUGGCUAGGAAUGAUGCUGGGAACAUGAUGGGUUCAGACAGCUGCCUUUCAGGCCGACUUUGGCAUAAACAUGAGCUCAAAGUUGCGCUGAGAAAAUACUGUGGUCAGCUAAGCCCAGUGAGAGCUGCCUGUCCUCAGGACUUCGGGUGCAGUCUCCACUGAUCCCCACACCCAGGACUGCUAGAGGACCACAGAACCUUGUCGACGAUUAACACCACACUCAGGAGCGGGUCAUUCAGGCACCCUGUGGCCGCCUUAUACUGACUGAUGGUGAUAAUUCUAUUUCCCAUGAUUUCUCGAGUGUGCAGUGGAAACCCCUUUUGCUUUUCAUCUGUAUCAUUCUAUUUCGUGAGGAAACCGUAGAAGGGUCCCUGAUCUUCACAAACUGGGAGGAAACAGGAAAAGUUGGUGUAGGGCUGGAAACGAAAUUGAUGUGAUCUGUGAAAGGGGCUUGUCACACUGGCCAGUGUCCAUCCUGAAGUCAGAUCAAAUGUCACUUCUCAGAGGUGUCUUCCUGGACCUCUCUUACUGCAGUAGACUCUCCCGCUGGGGUCAUACCAUCAAAUCCCACAAUGAUCUAUUUGCUUACUUACUCAUCAGCUGCUUCCCUUACUGCAUAUGAGAUCUCUUGAGCUGGGUGAUGGUCCUGUGUUUUUAAAAGUUGUGUCACCCAAUACCUAGAAGUGUGCCUGGCAUUUAUUAACUGUUUUUUGUGUUUGUUUGUUUGUUUUUUCCCUUUGGAUGAACAAGAGGCAACUCUCUAAGAGAGAGAGAGUACAAGCAGUGGGAAUGGCAAGCAGAGGCAGAGGGAGAGGGAGAAGCAGGCCCCCCCACUCAGCAGGGACCCCGAUGCAAGGCUCGAUCCCAGGACCCUGAGACCAUGACUGAGCCAAAGGCAGAAGCUUAACCGACUGAGCCACCCAGGUGCCCCUUGCUACAUGAUCUUAAGACAGCAUGGCUGGGUCGCAAUAUCUUCCCAGGAGAAAAACUUGGUCAGUUUUAUUCAUAGCUCUGGUCUCUCUAGGGCUCAGCAAAGUCUGCUCUUGGGAAGACCUCUGGGGAACAGAGAGACAGGGGAUAUGUAACAUUGCAGAAUGAUGGGAUUUUGUAGCCUCCAGCUGGUGGAAUUGUACAUAUUUGUAGAAGUGUUGGAAGAUGCUGAGAAUGAUUUUGCAGAGUUUUAAAGUAGAGUGUCCAGCCACGUGAAGUAAGGGAAGAAUGAACAUCAAGUAAGCGCCUACUUUGUGCCAGGCACAGAGCUGUGCUUAUACAACUGUCAGCCCACUUAAUUCUCAUGACAACCUAGGAGCCUAGAGUUGAGGAGGAGAAGGAAUCUCCGUCAUGGUCCUGACAGGUGCCAGCCCUCGGAAGCUGUGAGUUGCAUCCAGUGGAACUGGGUCCCACUCACCCAGGCUCACUGAAGAUUUCUAUACUUGCCAAAAUGGGCAGAAUGGAUGAGAAUUGAUAGUGUAACACUAGCUUCACAUGUGGUACUUUAUGAUCGAUUCCUGGGUUUUGUUUUAAGCACUUUGAAGAAGCAGGAUGGCCUCCCCCCAAAAUUUGAUCUGGAUCUCAAGAGGGCUGAUGCUACACUCACAGUAAGAGGGUAUAUGAGAAGUUGAUCACACACGUAUGGAGGCUUUUGGGGAGAGCAGGCAGGCUCUCCUUGCUGGCCUGAAAUGUCAGGAGAGACAUUUGACCUGUCUCCUACCCCCAAAGAGGGAGCACUUGGGCCUUCUCAGCUCUCUCAGGUGUGGAUGGAGGGGGAGUGGGUGGGGGAGGCUUAAAAGCUGUCAGGGAACAUCAAAAAAGGGGACCAUACUUUUUAUUAUAGGUUUAUUUUGGAUUUAAGAACAACUGUUCAAAAUACAGAGACAUUUUGUCACAUGAGACAGGGUUUACCUGUCCUUAACUGAUAACCAGAUUCAAGGGUUUGGAAGUCUGUGGGCAACAAAGCCAGCAACACAGCCCAUCUCACUUCCUCACACGCCCCAUGUGAACUAAAUCACCAGCAGAUGACCUCCUGACACUGUGAGCGUGAAGCCUCAGGUCACGACUCUCCGGAAACAUAAGAGAUUUACAUCUCCAGUGGGCACCUGUCACCUGAGAUCCAGCAGGUGUAUCUCCAUCUGCGUGGAGAAAGCAUCCCAGAGGGAACGUGCUCCCAGUACAGCGCCUGAUUUACCCUUACAACUUGACCUUUCUCUUAACUUUCCCAUCUUCCCAGUUGGACUAUCCAAGAUUCUAGAAGUCACUACUCUCACCCUCAAAAGUCAUGUGGGUAGAGUUACAAAACAGAACCCAAAUCUUAACCUCUCUUUUCGCUCUGCUUCCCCCAAGCCAUCUCCGCAGGCUGUUUUCCUGCCUGCGCCCUGCAGGAACCCGAAGCAGCCCCCGUCUCGGUUCCUGUGCCCCUGCUGUGGGUUGAACUGUGUCCCCCCCAAGAGGUUUCACUGGCCCCAUAUUUCUCAACUGUGCCCAGCCAAACACCAUCAGCAGUAGAGAGAGAACAAUGUGUACUACCAGAAUGCUCUGGGGCUUCCUGAUGCUGCUUGGACUUGCAUUUGAAGUCACGACGCCACCAAGAAUCUCUCUUCCUCCAUUCUGCUCAUCAUGCAACAUUCUCCUCUGCUCAGCCAGCCAGAGCAUUGGCAUCCACAUCGUAGGAACCAAAGCCACCCAGUGACUGAGCACCACAUCUACCAGCUGCAACACCAGGGAAGAGUUUCAGGUCUCUUCUGAUUUGUUUAGUGUAUAUUUUUCUGGGGUCGUUGUUACCCUGUUAGCAUUUUUUUCUCUCAUUCAUCUAU